rnacentral:rRNA from 1 species
UGCAGUCGAACGGCAGCACGGAGCUUGCUCUGGUGGCGAGUGGCGAACGGGUGAGUAAUAUAUCGGAACGUACCCUAGAGUGGGGGAUAACGUAGCGAAAGUUACGCUAAUACCGCAUACGAUCUAAGGAUGAAAGUGGGGGAUCGCAAGACCUCAUGCUCGUGGAGCGGCCGAUAUCUGAUUAGCUAGUUGGUAGGGUAAAAGCCUACCAAGGCAUCGAUCAGUAGCUGGUCUGAGAGGACGACCAGCCACACUGGAACUGAGACACGGUCCAGACUCCUACGGGAGGCAGCAGUGGGGAAUUUUGGACAAUGGGCGAAAGCCUGAUCCAGCAAUGCCGCGUGAGUGAAGAAGGCCUUCGGGUUGUAAAGCUCUUUUGUCAGGGAAGAAACGGUGAAGGCUAAUAUCCUUUGCUAAUGACGGUACCUGAAGAAUAAGCACCGGCUAACUACGUGCCAGCAGCCGCGGUAAU